AUGGGGACGGCGCGAGAGACGGGGGAGAGGGAGAGCAGGGGAAGGCUGAUGAAGCGGCGUGCGUCGUGCGGCGUGCCUGGCAGUAGCGGACGAUCGCUCGCAGUUAAUACUGUACGUACUUGGCGACAGGGAAAACCAGGGACUUUUGUGCUCGUAGAAAAAAAUCGUGCGGCCCAAGCUUUUUACAGUGCUAUUCAUUUAUUUCUGAGAUGGACCCGGGCGGUAAAAGAAAAGAGAAACGUCCGUGCUCGCGAGUUGGCAUGCAUAUGUGACGCGACAGGACUGACACGACGUUGUCUAUUUAUGAAAUUCCGCCGUGGAAUUUUGGUCAUUCGAAUUCUUCUUACAUAA
rnacentral:rRNA from 1 species